rnacentral:rRNA from 1 species
UAGGGAAUCUUCGGCAAUGGACGAAAGUCUGACCGAGCAACGCCGCGUGAGUGAAGAAGGUUUUCGGAUCGUAAAACUCUGUUGUUAGAGAAGAACAAGGACGUUAGUAACUGAACGUCCCCUGACGGUAUCUAACCAGAAAGCCACGGCUAACUACGUGCCAGCAGCCGCGGUAAUACGUAGGUGGCAAGCGUUGUCCGGAUUUAUUGGGCGUAAAGCGAGCGCAGGCGGUUUCUUAAGUCUGAUGUGAAAGCCCCCGGCUCAACCGGCGAGGGUCAUUGGAAACUGGGAGACUUGAGUGCAGAAGAGGAGAGUGGAAUUCCAUGUGUAGCGGUGAAAUGCGUAGAUAUAUGGAGGAACACCAGUAGCGAAGGCGGCUCUCUGGUCUGUAACUGACGCUGAGGCUCGAAAGCGUGGGGAGCAAACAGG